GGGCGAAGCCUGAUGGAGCAACGCCGCGUGUGUGAUGAAGGCUUUCGGGUCGUAAAGCACUGUUGUAUGGGAAGAACAGCUAGAAUAGGAAAUGAUUUUAGUUUGACGGUACCAUACCAGAAAGGGACGGCUAAAUACGUGCCAGCAGCCGCGGUAAUA
rnacentral:rRNA from 1 species